GGCCACUGCCCUGUGCCCUCCGGCCCUGGGGUCCCGGGCGUAGGAAGAAGGGCCUGGGCGGGUCCAACCGGCUUGCUCUGCGGAUUGGAGGUUUGGGGGCGAGGCAGAAUGCUGGCCUGGGCUGAAGCUGGUCCAAGCUUUGGAAAAACAGCAGCAUAGACAGAGGGACAGAGAUGUGUCCAUCGGGAGCUCCUGCCACUUGCCCCCAAGACCCAGCCCAGUGUUUUUGGAUUCUGGCUGCCCACAAUCACCUGGCCGGCCGGGAGGAGGGAUGUGACAAACAUGGGUUCUCGGGCCUCAUCUCCAGAGAUUCUGACUCAAUUGGCAUCGGUGGAUUUUAAAAGCAGAUAUUUGAGAGUUGGAAACGACUUGCCAAGCCCUCACUUGGUAUUUGAGAAGACAAAACCCAGAGAGCAAAAGGGACAUAGCCAAGGUUGUGAAGCAGCUAGUGGCCAAGACUGGACUUGAACGUGACUUUGGCUUACAAAGUCCUGCACGAGCCACCCUCCCAGCUUCUUCCUCGCCUCUCUGCAUUCUGUGGCUUUGCCUCUUCUCUGUUCUCUCUUCCACCUCAGGGCCUUUGCACGGCCCCAUCACCCCUGCCUUUACCCCGAAAUCCUUCAUGAUUCUAAGUCAGCAGCCCCUGUGCGCCUCCACCUCCUCCCCUCACUGGAUCAUGUUUGGCGAUUGCCAGAAAUCUACCCGCUCCUGGAAGAGGAACAGUUUGCCGUGCUCCAAGGGAUACAAGAGAUCAGGCGUCAGCUCCGGAAGGCUGCCACUGGCCAAAGGAGGAGAAACUCCAGCGACGAAGACAGGGAACAGAACAGUGACAUGUCAUUUAGUGUCCAAAGCAGGACAAUUCCGUGAGUGAAAGGGGAUGCUAUUAACAAUUACACCGAGAAAGCAGGUCUGCAGAAGACUGGCCCAGGGAGAUGAGGACACGUGACCACAGGACCCACGAGCCUGGGCCGGACCAGCCACGGUGAACGCAGCCAUCGGCGUUACUGAAUCCCCACAUCAACCCUGAGAAGUGGAGGCUAGUUUUCCAUCUCCACUGGACAGGUUCAGGGGUGAAUAAAGACCCCAGGGCUGGCAGGUGGCUGCGAAAGAGGGAUGAAUGGGUCAGAUUUGGGGCCUGAGCGAAGAAACGAAAAGCAGACCACAGUCAUUUGGUCUAGCCACCGGGGGGAGGACUUUUGGCUGCUGUGUGUCCAUUAUGAAGGGGCAGGACCCAUGGCAAGCUGGUUAUUAAAUAUGUCUAAUAUCUACCUGCCCACCCACUGAGAAAGAGCCCAUGGGUGGCCCAGGGGAGCAGGGUGUUCUGUGGGAGGGGGCUGGGGCAGGAGGAAGACCCCUCAUUCCUGGAGCUAUGGGGGAGCUAGAAAGAGCCACGUCCUGUGGCUUGGCCUCCCUGGGGUGGCGGCCUCUGUAAGAGGGAAGUCCUCUGCUUCCUUCCUUUUUCUUCUAAGCAGAUUUGAAAGCAACCACUCCAGGGUCUUGAGGGCCUUCAGACGGG
rnacentral:lncRNA from 1 species